AUGAGGAGAGAAUCCUAAGGUCGACGGGAGAAGUAUUGUUAAGGAACUCGGCAAAAAUGCCCCGUAACUUCGGGAGAAGGGGUGCUGAUAGUAAUCAGCCGCAGUGAGUAGGUCCAAGCAACUGUUUAGCAAAAACACAGGUCUAUGCGAAACCGAGAGGUGAAGUAUAUGGGCUGACGCCUGCCCGGUGCUGGAAGGUUAAGAGGAGAGGUUAGCGUAAGCGAAGCUUUGAAUCCAAGCCCCAGUAAACGGCGGCCGUAACUAUAACGGUCCUAAGGUAGCGAAAUUCCUUGUCGGGUAAGUUCCGACCCGCACGAAAUGCGUAAUGAUUUGGGCACUGUCUCGACAAUACACCCGGUGAAAUUGAAAUGCCAGUGGAGAUGCUGGCGACCUGCGCCAGGACGGAAAGACCCCAUGGAGCUUUACUCUAGCUUGGCACUGGAGAUUGAUAUGACAUGUACAGGAUAGGUGGGAGACUGAGAAAUAUGGACGUCAGUUUAUAUGGAGUCACUGUUGGGAUACCACCCUUGUUAUAUUGAUUUUCUAACCUACACUCAUGAAACUGGGUGGGGGACAAUGCCUGGUGGGGAGUUUGACUGGGGCGGUCGCCUCCGAAAGGGUAUCGGAGGCGCUCAAAGGUUCCCUCAGAAUGGAUGGAAACCAUUCGAAGAGUGCAAAGGCAGAAGGGAGCUUAACUGCGAGGGUGACGGCCCGAGCAGAUAGGAAACUAGGACUUAGUGAUCCGGUGGUAUAAAGUGGGAUUGCCAUCGCUCAACGGAUAAAAGCUACCCAGGGAUAACAGGCUUAUCACUCCCAGGAGUUCACAUCGACGGAGUGGUUUGGCACCUCGAUGUCGGCUCAUCGCAUCCUGGGGCUGUAGCAGGUCCCAAGGGUUGGGCUGUUCGCCCAUUAAAGCGGUACGCGAGCUGGGUUCAGAACGUCGUGAGACAGUUCGGUCCCUAUCCGGCGUGGGCGUGGGAUAAUUGAAGGGAGCCGUCCCUAGUACGAGAGGACCGGGAUGUACGGACCACUGGUGUAUCAGUUGUACUGCCAAGUGCAUAGCCGAGUAGCCAAGUCCGGAAAGGAUAAACGCUGAAAGCAUCUAAGCGUGAAGCCCCCCCUAAGAUGAGUUAUCCAUUACGUAAGUAGAGAGAUUCCUUGUAGACUACGAGGUAGAUAGGGCAGAGGUGUAAGUACAGUGAUGUAUUUAGCUGACUGUCACUAAUAGAUCGAAAACUUGAUC
rnacentral:rRNA from 1 species